rnacentral:lncRNA from 1 species
GCUGUGAAAUUUGGAUUAAAAACAGGCGGAAAAUUUGUUAUCGAACUGCGGUACACAACUACUUGGUCGUGCAGUUUUCAUCAAAAUUGACGGGAAGAAAGGUGAGAUUUCUCACAAACAUUCUACCUUUUUGUUAAUGCAAACAGAUUCAUCACUCCAACACUUCUGGUCAAUUAUAAGAGACGUGUUAUUGAUAGAUUUGUCUUGCCAUACACAAGCCAGAAGCGACGAUGUAAGCACGCACUGUCUAACCGAGGAUGCCGCUGCACAAGCUUCUACGAUGUUUUUUGUUGCCUUGACUUCUAUCUGGGCCAUAGUUUU